GGGGCUGCGGCCAGGAGGCUCGACACCAGGAUGCUCUCGCCUGGGGCUGGUCCCCGCGACGCCUUUCGUGACUAAGGCCCGGUGGUGGGGCGAGGCCCACGAGCGCUUUCGCUGGCCCGGCAUCCAGAGCCUCCAGAUGAAAACUCAGCUCAGCUGACCCCUUUAUUUCUGCUUUGUGAUUCACUGAAUAGAGGACCCAGUCACACCAUGCCGGACGUCAGAACUAUGGAAUUAAAUCUUCUGACAUCUUCAACUGCUCUGUGAAAUCUACUAUAAUAUGCUGUACCGGGAUGGAAGAAGGCGGAAUGUGAUGGCAUGUCUCUCCACUUCAAGUUCCAGACAUCCUAUUAGCCAGAACUUGGUCACAUGCCACAUCUAUCUGCCAAAGAAACAGAAAUCUAGUCUUCAGAGUGGUCAUGUGAUCCAGAUAAAAAUUCUAUUGCUAUGAAAGGAAGGAAUGGAUUAAUGAGGCAGUCCAGUACCUUUCUUCCAUACCUUGAGAUUACUGUACUGCAAAUGCCAACUGGAACUAGAGACUAUGCUGGAUAUCUAAGAAUAAGAAUUCAAGAGUUAUCGAUGAAUCAGCAAAAGUUCAAACAGUGAGAAGGAAAUGCCAAUAGCAAUUCUAGAACUGGACAAUUGUAAAUGGCUGCCAAGGUAAGUAUUUGUCUCCCUCAUUAUGUUGCACUAAGUAAAACUUCCAACUUUUUUAACUGGA